ensembl:snoRNA
UGAUGGCAAUGAUGAUUUUUUAAGCUUACCAUUCACCUGAUAAAUAUGAGGGUGUUUAGUCACUACCUCAUCUGAUGCCAUCU